CUACGUGCCAGCAGCCGCGGUAAUACGUAGGUCCCGAGCGUUGUCCGGAUUUAUUGGGCGUAAAGCGAGCGCAGGCGGUUAGAUAAGUCUGAAGUUAAAGGCUGUGGCUUAACCAUAGUACGCUUUGGAAACUGUUUAACUUGAGUGCAAGAGAGGAAAGUGGAAUUCCUAGUGUAGCGGUGAAAUGCGUAGAUAUUAGGAAGAACACCAGUGGCGAAGGCGACUUUCUGGACGAAAACUGACGCUGAGGCUCGAAAGCGUGGGGAGCGAACAGGAUUAGAUACCCUGGUAGUCCACGCCGUAAACGAUGAGUGCUAGGUGUUGGAUCCUUUCCGGGAUUCAGUGCCGCAGCUAACGCAUUAAGCACUCCGCCUGGGGAGUACGACCGCAAGGUUGAAACUCAAAGGAAUUGACGGGGGCCCGCACAAGCGGUGGAGCAUGUGGUUUAAUUCGAAGCAACGCGAAGAACCUUACCAGGUCUUGACAUCCCGAUGCUAUUUCUAGAGAUAGAAAGUUAYU
rnacentral:rRNA from 1 species